GACGAACGCUGGCGGCGCGCCUAACACAUGCAAGUCGAACGGAGCUGAGAGAAGCUUGCUUUUCUUAGCUUAGUGGCGAACGGGUGAGUAACGCGUGAGUAACCUGCCCUGGAGUGGGGGACAACAGUUGGAAACGACUGCUAAUACCGCAUAAGCCCACGAUCCGGCAUCGGAUUGAGGGAAAAGGAUUUAUUCGCUUCAGGAUGGACUCGCGUCCAAUUAGCUAGUUGGUGAGGUAACGGCCCACCAAGGCGACGAUUGGUAGCCGGACUGAGAGGUUGAACGGCCACAUUGGGACUGAGACACGGCACAGACUCCUACGGGAGGCAGCAGUGGGGGAUAUUGCACAAUGGGGGAAACCCUGAUGCAGCGACGCCGCGUGGAGGAAGAAGGUUUUCGGAUUGUAAACUCCUGUCGUUAGGGACGAUAAUGACGGUACCUAACAAGAAAGCACCGGCUAACUACGUG
rnacentral:rRNA from 1 species